rnacentral:rRNA from 1 species
GGAUCAUUAAAGAGUGUAAUAAAACUCCUAAACCCCUGUGAACUUACUGGUGUUUGGCUCGCCAGAUAUAGUCUGGUCCGUAAGCAAAUCGACUGCCUGCCUGUGUAACAGGCAGGUAAGCUUUUGUCGCGGGGUCCCGGAUCAACCCGGGCUAGAUAGCCACUUAACUAUAUACUUUUUAUAAAAUCUGUGAACUUACUAGGUUGGAUUCUCGCCAGAGAUAGUCUGGUUUCUGCUUCGCGGAUCGCCUACCCGUGACACCUGUCACAGGCAGGUAUGCUUCUGCCGCGGGUCCGUAAGUAAAUCAUCUGUUUCGCAAGGGACGGCGAUUUACCUGUGGAAGAGGUCCGCUAACUAUAUUCUUAGUAUAGUUUGUUCACUAGAUCAAACAUUCUGAAUAAAAACUUAAACUAGUUAAAACUUUCAACAACGGAUCUCUUGGUUCUGGCAUCGAUGAAGAACGCAGCGAAAUGCGAUAAGUAAUGUGAAUUGCAGAAUUCAGUGAAUCAUCGAAUCUUUGAACGCACAUUGCGCCCAUUAGUAUUCUAGUGGGCAUGCCUGUUCGAGCGUCAUUUCAACCCUUAAGCCCCUGUUGCUUAGCGUUGGGAGCCUACAGCCUGCUGUAGCUCCUUAAAGGUAGUGGCGGAGUCGGUUCACACUCUAGACGUAGUAAAAUCUUUAUCUCGCCUAUGGAUGAGCCGGCGCCUUGCCGUAAAACCCCUAAUCUUUCACAAGGUUGACCUCGGAUCAGGUAGGAAUACCCGCUGAACUUAAGCAUAUCAAUAAGCGGAGGAAAAGAAACCAACAGGGAUUGCCCUAGUAACGGCGAGUGAAGCGGCAACAGCUCAAAUUUGAAAUCUGGCCUUCGGGUCCGAGUUGUAAUUUGCAGAGGAUGCUUUGGGCGCGGUGCCUUCCGAGUUCCCUGGAACGGGACGCCUUAGAGGGUGAGAGCCCCGUACGGUUGGACACCAAGCCUCUGUAAAGCUCCUUCGACGAGUCGAGUAGUUUGGGAAUGCUGCUCUAAAUGGGAGGUAAAUUUCUUCUAAAGCUAAAUAUUGGCCAGAGACCGAUAGCGCACAAGUAGAGUGAUCGAAAGAUGAAAAGCACUUUGAAAAGAGGGUUAAAUAGCACGUGAAAUUGUUGAAAGGGAAGCGUUUGCGACCAGACCUUUUCCCAGCGGAUCAUCCGGUGUUCUCACCGGUGCACUUCGCUGGGUUGAGGCCAGCAUCGGUUUCCGCAGGGGGAUAAAAGCCUGGGGAAUGUAGCUCCCUCGGGAGUGUUAUAGCCCCUCGCAUAAUACCCUUGCGGGGACCGAGGACCGCGCU